rnacentral:rRNA from 1 species
GACGAACGCUGGCGGCGUGCUUAACACAUGCAAGUCGAACGGAAAGGCCCCUUUGGGGGUACUCGAGUGGCGAACGGGUGGGUAAGACGUGCGUAACCAGCCCUUGACUUCGGGAUAACUUAAGGAAACUGGGGCGAAUACCGGAUAGGAAUCCUUGCUGCAUGGUGGGGGUUGGAAAGCUUCGGCGGGUUUGGGUGGACUCGCGGGUUAUCUGCUUGUUGGUGGGGGAGUGGGUUACCUAGGCUUUGACGGGUAGCCGGCCUGGGGGGGCGACCGGCCACAAUGGGACUGAGGUACGGCCCAGACUCCUACGGGAGGGAGCAGGGGGGAAUAUUGCACAAUGGGCGGAAGGCGGAUGCAGCAACGCCGCGGGCGGGAAGACGGCCUUCGGGUUGUAAACCGCUUUCAGCAGGGGCGAAGCUUGUGGUGACGGUACCUGCAGAAGAAGCACCGGCUAACUACGUG